UACAUCCUACGGGAGGCAGCAGUGGGGAAUAUUGCACAAUGGGGGGAACCCUGAUGCAGCGACGCCGCGUGAGUGAAGAAGUAUUUCGGUAUGUAAAGCUCUAUCAGCAGGGAAGAAAAUGACGGUACCUGACUAAGAAGACCCGGCUAACUACGUGCCAGCAGCCGCGGUAAUACGUAGGGGGCAAGCGUUAUCCGGAUUUACUGGGUGUAAAGGGAGCGUAGACGGUUAUGCAAGUCUGAAGUGAAAGUCCAAGG
rnacentral:rRNA from 1 species